rnacentral:lncRNA from 1 species
AAAAUAAAUGUAAACCAAGUUUAUUUUGCCUUUUAAGUAGUGUUCUUAAAGCACUACAGCUUGGUAAACAAUGUGAAUUAGUAUAAGUCAUCUCAAAAGCCAGAGUUUUGUUUUCGUUGUUGUUGUUUUUAAUGAGUUGUUAAAAAGAUGCAGCCUAUUCUAACAGGAUAAAUAUUUUUAACCAUUUCACUUUGAGUUAAUGAAGGCUCACAAAUGAGCAACACUCCUCAUUGAGGAAAACAAAAAGCUGUUGUCGACAAGCGAUAGCUCACACACACAAACAAAAGAACUGUGUAAAAAUAACUAACUGUUCCCAUACUUUCAGAGUUACUUUAAAAUGGGAUGAUAUGCACAUGAUCUUGCUGCAACUCGACACACAGACCGUAAUACAUGUAGUCCAGAGACAACGAUUCAGCUCAGGAGGCGCCAACUCCAGACAGCGCAGCGCUAUAAUCCGUUAGCGCAACUGCUUUUACUCAGUAUUUCCUUCUAGACUGAGAUACAGACUAGAAAAAAUGCUCCCUAAUUAAAAUUUGUAUUGUUUACAAGAAAAAUUUUAUAAUUAAUUUGUAUUAGAAUUUACAAGUAUAUUCUCAAAUCAUACUUGCUGCCUUCCCCCAGCAUUGCCUCAAAAUGGGCAUGAAGUAAAAGUUGUUUAAAAAUGCCUUAAUUUUCAACUUCAUGCAAACUAAAUAAAGAUGACCAAAACAAAAGCUUAAACAAUGAAAGGAUAUUUCACAGAAAAGUUCUUAUACAAAAAACACAUAAGAAAAAGGGCCACUAGGUGACAUUUUAAUUUACAAAUUGGCAUCAUUUUGGUCGACAGAGAACCCAUCUGCUGCUCUCCCAGGACAAACGCUGCACAGGGAAAAGAGCCUAGCGGGGCUUCGGGACUUCAGAUUUAGUCACACAUUUCUUCUGGGAUUUCAUGUGGGUUAAGGAUUCCAGGUACAGACAUUUGAAGUUUAUGUUUCUCCUCCUGAGCCUGUCGAAGAGCUGUUUCUCUCUCUUCCAAAAAUAGAUCCGAUGUGUCUUCACCUGCAAACUCCU